UUCUUCCAUUCUGUUAAAAAAAAAGCUCUCACCCUCUCAACUCUCUCCCUAAAAUCCGGCGCCGCCGUGGCCGGUGGCCGGCGUUGUGCAAAAGGGGUGAUAUUGGCCCACGUUUCAUAACCCUCUUUGGAGCCCAACCCUCUUGGCCCCCUUUUUCCUCUCGGAUCCGAUGGCCGCAACGGAGGAGAGCCCUCCGACGGCGAACCCGCGAGGCGGUUCAGGUAAGCCUCUGUUCCUUUUUUAUUUUUCUUUAAUAUAUGUAAAAAAGGGAUGAUAAGAAAAGCAAAAAAAAAAAAAAAAACAGAAAGAACAAGUAAAAAAACGAAUUUAAAAAAAAUCACCUCUUAAAAACGUUUUUUAUUUUCGUUUCUUAUUAUUAUGCUCCUGGAAAAAAUCCCCUCAAAAGUUACAAUAACUCGGCCUUUAUAGCCUUUUAAAGUAACAACAUUUUUAUUUUUUUAUUUUGUGUUUCUGCUCUACUGUUUCUCUGUUGUUCUUUUUGCGCUGCUUCUGUUUCUUCUUUCAUAUUUGUUUGCAGGUGGUGGAGUCAACGGGCAGAAACCAUUGCCAUUUCGGUGCAACCUCGGUGAAGGAGUCGUCAUCGGGCGUCGUGCACGCCGAGGGCGCACAUGGAGGAGGCUGCGGCGCGAGGAGGUGUUAGGGCUAAGGUUUCUGAGAAUGAGUUUAGGUUGUGGGCCAACGAGCUGCUCAGGGUUUUUGUAUUUUGGGCUAUUUGGGCCUCUUUUGUAAAUGGACUUUUUUAUUAUUUUUAUUUCGUUUUAUUUUAUUUAGUUUUGGGUCCGGUGCUAAAAUUGAGCCUAUAUUGGCUCAACCCAUAAUGAAGCCUAGUUGUAACAAAUUUAAUAUUUAAGCAAGCUUCGUUCACUUGUAUAUAUAGGGUGAGAGCUUGUAUAGAUAUUGUAUUGAUAGAAUAGUUUGAGGGUUUUCUUUUUUUCUUUUUAAAUAUAUUAGCCUUUGAACAAUUAGCAAAGGCUUUGAUUAUUUUCAUUGGUUGUUAAAAUUUUCAAUUUCAUUAUAAUUAAAUUGUUUCUUGAUGAA
rnacentral:lncRNA from 1 species